AUUGAACGCUGGCGGCAGGCCUAACACAUGCAAGUCGAGCGAGCGGCGGACGGGUGAGUAAUGUCUGGGAAACCGCCUGAUGGAGGGGGAUAACUACUGGAAACGGUAGCUAAUACCGCAUCCCAUCAGAUGUGCCCAGGAGGGAUUGGCUAGUAGGGGGGGUAAUGGCUCACCUAGGCGACGAUCCCUAGCUGGUCUGAGAGGAUGACCAGCCACACUGGAACUGAGACACGGUCCAGACUCCUACGGGAGGCAGCAGUGGGGAAUAUUGCGCAAUGGUCGCAAGCCUGAUGCAGCCAUGCCGCGUGUGUGAAGAAGGCCUUCGGGUUGUAAAGCACUUUCAGCGGGGAGGCGUUACCCGCAGAGGAAGCACCGGCUAACUCCGUGCCAGCAGCCGCGGUAAUAC
rnacentral:rRNA from 1 species